rnacentral:rRNA from 1 species
UACGUAGGCAGCAAGCGUUGUUCGGAAUUAUUGGGCGUAAAGAGCUCGUAGGCGGUCUGUCGCGUCUGCUGUGAAAACUCGGGGCUUAACUCCGGGCCUGCAGUGGGUACGGGCAGACUAGAGUGCGGUAGGGGAGACUGGAAUUCCUGGUGUAGCGGUGAAAUGCGCAGAUAUCAGGAGGAACACCGGUGGCGAAGGCGGGUCUCUGGGCCGUAACUGACGCUGAGGAGCGAAAGCGUGGGGAGCGAACAGG